UUACUAUUGGAGGCGCUGAAAUCCAAUAGAACCGAUUACGUCAAAGUACUUAUGGAUCACGGUGUAUCUGUUAAAAUGAAGGACAUACCAGUUUUGUACAAAUCGACUAUAAGCUGCCCGAAGCAUGGACCAAAAGUUAAAGACUGCAACUGCUUAGGAAUGAUGUGGCUAAUGAAGUCAAUAAACAAAGAAGAGGCCGAGAGAUGUUUCAAAAAGAGCGAUGUAAAGAAGGGUCUUCUAGCACCACAGACCAUAUGCAGAGAACUUCUCGAUUACCAAA